rnacentral:rRNA from 1 species
AAAUUGAAGAGUUUGAUCAUGGCUCAGAUUGAACGCUGGCGGCAGGCCUAACACAUGCAAGUCGAACGGUAACAGGAAGCAGCUUGCUGCUUUGCUGACGAGUGGCGGACGGGUGAGUAAUGUCUGGGAAACUGCCUGAUGGAGGGGGAUAACUACUGGAAACGGUAGCUAAUACCGCAUAACGUCGCAAGACCAAAGAGGGGGACCUUCGGGCCUCUUGCCAUCGGAUGUGCCCAGAUGGGAUUAGCUAGUAGGUGGGGUAACGGCUCACCUAGGCGACGAUCCCUAGCUGGUCUGAGAGGAUGACCAGCCACACUGGAACUGAGACACGGUCCAGACUCCUACGGGAGGCAGCAGUGGGGAAUAUUGCACAAUGG